rnacentral:tRNA from 1 species
GGAGGGGUCGCAUAGUCUGGCCUAGUGCGCACGCCUGGAAAGCGUGUAUGUGGAAACGCAUCGAGGGUUCGAAUCCCUCCCCCUCCGCCC